rnacentral:rRNA from 1 species
AACGAACGCUGGCGGCAGGCUUAACACAUGCAAGUCGAACGGUUGUAGCAAUACAGCAGUGGCAGACGGGUGAGUAACACGUGGGAACCUUCCUAGGGGUACGGAACAACUCAGGGAAACUUGAGCUAAUACCGUAUACGUCCGUGAGGAGAAAGAUUUAUCGCCCUUAGACGGGCCCGCGUAGGAUUAGGUAGUUGGUGGGGUAAUGGCCUACCAAGCCUACGAUCCUUAGCUGAUCUGAGAGGAUGAUCAGCCACACUGGGACUGAGACACGGCCCAGACUCCUACGGGAGGCAGCAGUGGGGAAUCUUGGACAAUGGGCGCAAGCCUGAUCCAGCCAUGCCGCGUGAGUGAAGAAGGCCUCGGUUGUAAG